CAACACACCACCACCAGCACCAACACCACCACCACCACCGAAUCCCCUUCUCUUUUCUCUUCAUUACUGUUAUGACAGAAACCUGAACACAAAUCCGAAACCAGAUUUCAAAACAAUCACCACCUCUCAUGACGGUAGCUUCCAAUUUCAGUUUUCCACCGUUUUCAUCUUUAAUUAUAACACCACCACCACCACCAUUAUUAUCUUAUAGCACCGCCAUCACCAGUUAAUAGAUGGGUUAUAAAUGGAAAAUGGGUUUUUGUGUUGAGAGAGGGGGGAAGGCAAAAAUGGUGAUAUUAAUUGGAAUUAGCGGAACCCGAAUUAGGGAUUUCGUAACCCUCUGAGUCUCUGACCACCAUCGGAUAAGCUGAUUACCAGCUGCUGGUACAUGUUCGGCAGCAUCGGAAGAGUAAGUUUCAAACAGAGAUGCAUGAUUACAUGGACAUGUAAUAGCCUCAAAAUUGCGAUGCCGAGAAGAAGCAAGUGACAUAAGGAAAUCCAAUUUUAGCUGAAAAAGCUCUAGGAAAGUGCUUGUGAUGGUGAUGACAUAGUGGAUGAGUAUUCUUAUGAAACCUAUGAAGUAUUAUUGAUUUCGCCUCAUCCUUCGAAUUUGUUUUUAGCUGGCUAAAUUUCCCUCACUGAUUGCCAUAAUGACUUCUCUCAUCAAAUUAAGCUUCCAUCUGGAGCAAAAAAAAAUAUACCAAGUGGAUACCGUGCUAUGAUUGGCCAAGUUGCUGGUGGAGGCUGCAGGACUGAGAAGCCCAUGUUGAAAGCAGGAAACGCUUACCACGAAUGCAGAGUGAAGAGAAACUCCUGGCCCAAGGUUCGUGGUGUUGCUAUUGAAUCCAGUUGCAUCCUCACGGAGGAGGUAACCACCAGCAUAUUGGACAUGCCAGUAAUGUUCGUCAUGAUGCACCUCCUGGACAAAAGGUUGGUCUUAUUGCUGCUAGGAGAACUGGACGUCUUUGUGGACAGGCUGCUGCUAAGACAGAUAAAGCUUAACUUCUCCCCUGUUUUUCUGUUUAAGUUUGUUUGAAUCAAAACAUAAGUUCUUCCCUGUUUUUCCUAGUUCGACUCAUGAGAGGGACUGUGAGAGAAGGAUACUUUUGCUUAUCCUUGUCUUCAGAUAUUACUCAUUGGUGUGUAGAAUGAUCAGUUUCAAGUCUCUCUGUGAACUGCAAGUUUGUUGCUUGGGCAAUAUACUUAAUUUAACACCAGUUCGAUAA